rnacentral:lncRNA from 1 species
UCUAUUUUCAAAUUUCUAAUUUCUGUUAGAGGAUGAUUUCAUUGACAACAUUUCCACCCCAAAGGGCAUAAAACUGCAUCAAAUCCCUGACAAUAAUUACUAAAAUUAAUAAAUGGUAAGGCGAUCAGAAGUGAUGCAAACUUUGAAGGCUGUCUUGCCUAAGUCACUGAAAAUGAUGAUACAGUUUCGAUGGAAACUAAUGAGCCAAGAACUGAAGUCUGCAAUGAAGGAGUGAUGACAGCAUAAGGAGAGGGAGCUUCAGAACUUGGCAUGUUCUGACCUGUUCUAUUGCAAAGACACAAAGGCACAUCCUCCAAGGAGAAAAACCUGUAAGCUCAAACAGAAGAGUAGCAGCUAGGGCCUGGACUGAAUGAGUCUGAAGAAACACCUCGUGCUGUUUCCUAUGAAAUUGUUUUAGUUAAAUCCUCUCCCUUCUAGAAAUGGGUUCAAUGAGAAGCAUUAGAUUAGAUAAUGGUCUCUUGUUGUUUUCCUGUGUGGAGAGACUGUUGGUUCUAGUAGAAACUGAAGAGUGGAAAUCCACACCACAUUGGGCCUGGCCAGCAAGAGCUGUUACACUUGGUUCUCAGCCUCCCAUCAACUAACUCCAAGACCCCCCUUGCCAAAGGAAUGCUUGGGGGCAGUCUCAACAACCAGCAGAAAGGGACCUGUUACAGAACAUUUUCUUGCAUCUUCAAAUUCCUCCUCCUUCAACUCUCUCUCUCUGCCUACAAAGGCUGCAAGAAAGAUGUGCAAGACAAUGAAGAGGGAUACAAACAGAAAUAGUGUGAGUACUGUCUGGAGAAAUUUAGGUGAGGGACUUGGCAAGAAAUGAAACUCUCUGUGUCUAGCAAUAUGGUCUGAAACCCAGCAAUGCUUUGUCUAGGAGACACAGCAUCUCUGGUUCUGAAAACCUAGAGAAGGAAGACAAAGAAGAGAAGAGGAAGGAAAAUGUUCCUGAUAAUUGCAACAUUGCUCUCAAACAGAAUCUUUUUAGCACUGAGGAAAAUUCAAGAAAUCUGACUUGGGAACCUGAAAGAUAAAAUAAAUUGGCCAAAUGUGCAAAGAUAAUUACUCAGGGAAAACCUAAUGAUAGGAGCCUGGGUAGCUCAGUCGGUAGAGCAUCAGACUUUUAAUCUGAGGGU